GCACAGACUCUACGGUGCAAUUUAGUUGAGCAACACAUGCUGYGAUCUACGGGACUCAGCAAACCCUGGGAUCGAUAGCUGCAGAGAAGGAUUUGCCAGCCAAAAGGAAUAUCCCCCUGACAAAUAUCUCAGCCCAAAUCUGUGUCUGGGGGCUUGCUCUCUGCUGUUGGUGUGGUGGAUGUGUCUCCGUGCCUGCUAUGUGGAACUGGAAAGUGCCCAGGGAAUCAGACUGUGGACAGAAUUGCUUCUUUUAAGUCACCUAUUACUGUCUGGAUCCGAAUUUAAGCAACAGCCUGAAAAAAAAAAAGGAUUUUGUGAAGCUAAGACUGGAUUGAGCUGCUCCUCCUCAUCUUGGAUUACCCCUGCCUUAGAGAAGUGAUUUAUUGUUCUGAAUUCCACUGUUCAUCUGUGUCUUGGGAGUGGUGGGAAUGCUAACCCUGAGCAUUCAGAAAUCAUGCAAUUGGAUUAUAAUGAUUGUAAUGAUUACUUGUGUUUUUCUGUAUAGGAGAAGAACUGUAGCUGUUCCAACCUACCUGCCAAUUGCGGAGCCUCUUGCGUUCACUGACAUGCUAUAAUUAAUGCUUUUUAUGCAGACUU